GUAGGUGGCAAGCGUUGUCCGGAAUUAUUGGGCGUAAAGCGCGCGCAGGUGGUUCUUUAAGUCUGAUGUGAAAGCCCCCGGGCUCAACCGGGGAGGGUCAUUGGAAACUGGGGAACUUGAGUGCAGGAGAGGAAAGUGGAAUUCCACGUGUAGCGGUGAAAUGCGUAGGUAUGUGGAGGAACACCAGUGGCGAAGGCGACUUUCUGGCCUGUAACUGACACUGAGGCGCGAAAGCGUGGGGAGCAAACAGGAUUAGAUACCCUGGUAGUCCACGCCGUAAACGAUGAGUGCUAAGUGUUGGGGGGUUUCCGCCCCUCAGUGCUGCAGCUAACGCAUUAAGCACUCCGCCUGGGGAGUACGGUCGCAAAGACUG
rnacentral:rRNA from 1 species